rfam:Blastocystis hominis, Singapore isolate B (sub-type 7) whole genome shotgun sequence assembly, scaffold_32
CAGAAUGUAACGUAAAUGGUUAACGUCUUUGUUUUGGGUACAAAUGUAGUAUGUUCGAUUCAUACCUUUCUGA